rnacentral:rRNA from 1 species
CCCUCUUUUUCCGACCGCGACCACAAAUCAAACGAGAAAACCCG